rnacentral:rRNA from 1 species
GAUGAACGCUGGCGGCGUGCCUAAUACAUGCAAGUCGAGCGAACAGAUGAGGAGCUUGCUCCUCUGACGUUAGCGGCGGACGGGUGAGUAACACGUGGAUAACCUACCUAUAAGACUGGGAUAACUUCGGGAAACCGGAGCUAAUACCGGAUAAUAUAUUGAACCGCAUGGUUCAAUAGUGAAAGACGGUUUUGCUGUCACUUAUAGAUGGAUCCGCGCCGCAUUAGCUAGUUGGUAAGGUAACGGCUUACCAAGGCAACGAUGCGUAGCCGACCUGAGAGGGUGAUCGGCCACACUGGAACUGAGACACGGUCCAGACUCCUACGGGAGGCAGCAGUAGGGAAUCUUCGGCAAUGGGCGAAAGCCUGACGGAGCAACGCCGCGUGAGUGAUGAAGGUCUUCGGAUCGUAAAACUCUGUUAUUAGGGAAGAACAAAUGUGGAAGUAACUAUGCACGUCUUGACGGUACCUAAUCAGAAAGCCACGGCUAACUACGUG